UAGAGCCUGUGGUCAGGCUGAAGCGGCAGGUAGAGCCAUCACACCGGAGGGGAGGAAUGCCACUCGGCUCUGUGGUUUGGAGCCGGAAUCCGGUCUGUUUGGCACCGUCUUGUUUCCUGCUGUGCGAGCGGCGGAGCCAGACUGCAGCUCAGGCAUUUUAUGAUUUAACUGCAGGGAUAGAUGACGGUAAUGAAGACGGCUCCUCACCGUCUGCUCCUCAUGGGGUAACAUCAGAUGAUAAUCUGCUUCACAGCACAUGUGUCAGAUGGAAGGAAUGCUAAUCUGGAAGAGGUGCAGAGCUUGGACUUUUUGGCAGCCAGUUUCCACUCUGCACUUACUUUCCAUGUGGUGCCGCUCCAGAGGCUCCGGGUAGGAGAAGCCUGUUUGGGGAACGGAGGUGUUGAUGGAUCCCAGAUCGCCCCAUUGGC